AGAAACACUAAUGAGUAAAGCAAAAGAUCCCACAAACCCACGGAGCUCUAAAGUUUUGUCUGUUCUGUAGUUUUCUCAGUUUGGUAGCAGCAUAUCUUCUUCCCUUCGAUGUCGAUGAUAAAAGAUACAGUUUCCUCUAUCUCUCUCUGCAUCUCUCUUUGUUCGCGAAAUCUGCUGUUUAUCGCCUCUAAAUUUCGGUUUGCUAGGAACACAACCCAGCAGGUUUUAAUUCUUCUAUUACUCCUUUUGGUCACUAGCAGGAUAUUGACUCAAAGCAUUGGUCUCCUCUCGUAUACAUUUUUAUCACGAACAGACUAUGACAGUCGAUAGGCAAAAGCAACCAUGGCUAAUUUUCUUGCACAUUGAGCACUUGGUUGACCAUGACAGAAUAGUACUACACAUGGCUAAUUUUUAUCAUUGAGCAUUGCUUGGCAUCAGUCGAUAGGCAAAAGCAACCAUGGCUAAUUUUCUUGUUGAGCAUUGCUUGGCAUCAGUCGAUAGGCAAAAGCAACCAUGGCUAAUUUUCUUGCACAUUGAGCACUUGGUUAUUCAUCUGGUAUCAGUUAUGCAGUUGAAGGAUCAUUUGAGGAACCAAUGGGGAGGGAGGGCCUGCAAAACUAUCAAAAUUGGUGAUUUUCUUGGAACUGAAGAAGAAGUACUUGUGGUGAGGACUUUUGCUUCAGAAUAUAGCAGUCUUAGAAAGGAUGGUUAUAUCUUGGUUUAAAGAAUCUCAAGGCAAGGUCAAAAGAAAAAGGCAGUUAAUGAUCAUCUACUAACACUUCCGAAAGGGUCACUGAAUGAUCACUGGGUAUCAGUGACUUCUGGAAGUGAGGAGUAUUGUCUUAAACAUAUGUGUAGAAAUCAGUAUGAAGAAUGUCUAUUCAGAUGUGAAGAUGAUAGGUAAAAGACUUGAUAGAGGCCUUCAUCAGUUGUGAAUUUUCUUGCUAUUUGUUAAUAUUUAAUUUAAUAAGGUUUUUUGUGUGUU